UCCCAACCCAGGAACUGAACCCAGGUCUUCCUCAUCUCAGGCAGAUUCUGUACCGACUGAGCCACCGAGGAAGCCCAAUUUUUUUUUUUUUUAAUUGAAGUCCAAUUACUUGCUAAAACCGUGGCUAGGCGUUAGUGGAAACAAAAGAUGAAUGAGUGUGUCUGACCUUUCAAGUACAUUAUAAUCCUGAAAGAAUGAUAAGGGGAAUAAUUAGUUUUUAAAGAGAAAAAAAGAUCUGAAGACAAUGCAGCCCAAAGAACUGAACAUUUCAUCGUUGACUUUUGGAAUCUGAAGUCAUUAAGC